rnacentral:rRNA from 1 species
CCUACGGGAGGCAGCAGUGGGGAAUUUUGGACAAUGGGCGAAAGCCUGAUCCAGCCAUGCCGCGUGCAGGAUGAAGGCCUUCGGGUUGUAAACUGCUUUUGUACGGAACGAAAAGACUCUGGUUAAUACCUGGGGUCCAUGACGGUACCGUAAGAAUAAGCACCGGCUAACUACGUGCCAGCAGCCGCGGUAAUACGUAGGGUGCAAGCGUUAAUCGGAAUUACUGGGCGUAAAGCGUGCGCAGGCGGUUAUAUAAGACAGAUGUGAAAUCCCCGGGCUCAACCUGGGAACUGCAUUUGUGACUGUAUAGCUAGAGUACGGUAGAGGGGGAUGGAAUUCCGCGUGUAGCAGUGAAAUGCGUAGAUAUGCGGAGGAACACCGAUGGCGAAGGCAAUCCCCUGGACCUGUACUGACGCUCAUGCACGAAAGCGUGGGGAGCAAACAGGAUUAGAUACCCUGGUAGUCCACGCCCUAAACGAUGUCAACUGGUUGUUGGGUCUUCACUGACUCAGUAACGAAGCUAACGCGUGAAGUUGACCGCCUGGGGAGGACGGUCCGGCGAGUUAGUUAAACGUUAAAGUUAGUUAAGUUAGACGGCGUUGAGACGUUGCCGACGGACGACGACGAGGGAGGAGG